rnacentral:rRNA from 1 species
AGAGUUUGAUCCUGGCUCAGGAUGAACGCUAGCGGCAGGCCUAACACAUGCAAGUCGAGGGGUAACGGGGUGCUUGCACCGCCGACGACCGGCGCACGGGUGAGCAACGCGUAUAGAACCUACCCGUUACAGGGGGAUAGCCCAGAGAAAUUUGGAUCAAUACCCCGUGGGGCCCUUGACCGGCAUCGGUCUUGGGCUAAAGAACUUCGGUAACGGAUGGCUGUGCGUCCCAUUAGCUAGUUGGGGGGGUAACGGCCCACCAAGGCGUCGAUGGGUAGGGGCCCUGAGAGGGGGAUCCCCCACACUGGUGCUGAGACACGGACCAGACUCCUACGGGAGGCAGCAGUGAGGAAUAUUGGACAAUGGGCGGAUGCCUGAUCCAGCCAUGCCGCGUGCGGGAAGAAGGUCCUAUGGAUCGUAAACCGCUUUUGUACGGGAAGAACCGGGGGCACGCGUGCCCCCCUGACGGUACCGUAAGAAUAAGGAUCGGCUAACUCCGUGCCAGCCGCCGCGGUAAUAC